GUCACUGGACAAGAUAUCAAGGCUCAUGAAGGGUCAAUCCUUACUAUAAAAUUUAGUCUCGACGGACAAUACCUGGCUAGUGCUGGUGAAGAUAAAAUUGUGCGAAUUUGGCAAGUGGUGGAAGAUGACAGAUCAAGCGAUACUGAUAUUCCAGAUGUAGAUCAAUCUUGCAUUUACUUCUCGGUGAACCAUCUUUCUGAAUUGGAACCUCUCAUGAAGGAAGAAUAUAAAACCAACAAAUUGAAGAGUUUAAGGAAACCAAAAGACUCGGCAUGUAUCAUCUUUCCUCCAAAGGUUUUCCGGAUUUUGGAGAAGCCAUUGCACAUAUUUGUAGGUCACACUGGAGACAUUGUGGAUCUUUCUUGGUCGAAAACUAAUGUGAGUUUUCGACAUGCAAUCAAGUAGGUUUUCUUUUGAAAUUGCCUGGGAAUGAAUGGUAUUAUAUAUAACUAAGUUUUCUUGCAGUGUCUGCUUUCUUCAUCAAUUGAUAAAACUGUUCGUUUGUGGCGGGUUGGAUAUGAGCAGUGUCUCAAGGUCUUUCUGCAUAGUGAUUAUGGUGUGUAACCAGUUGCAUAUAGUGAUUUGAUAGGAUUUGGCUUGUGAAAAAACAUUAUAUCAAUGUCUUGACAUACUGAUUCCUUUUGCUAAAAAUGAAUUUAAUUGUAUGCAGUAACCUGCGUUCAAUUUAACCCUGUGAAUGAUGAUUACUUCAUCAGUGGUUCAAUUGAUGGAAAAGUUCGGAUUUGGACAAUCAGCGGUUAUCAAGUUAUCAACUGGACUGAAAUAAGAGACAUAGUUACUGCUGUUUCUUAUAGGCCUGAUGGGCAGGUCUGUUGAUUGUCUAUCCUUUUACAGAUAAUUAUGAUACAGUAUUCAAAUAGGAUUGAAGACGACAAUGGAUAAGAUUUUAACUUCUUCUUCUUCAUUUUUAUUUUUUUAUUUUUUUAAUACUGUUGAGUUGUCGCCGAUCCGUAUAAUCAAACAUGCCUCAGUAUUUUAUUGAAACUAUGGAUUCAUAAAUUUAUAAGACAUACUAAUGGAAUAAUUCUCUUUUUGUUGUAUAGGGUGGUAUUAUUGGCUCUAUCACAGGCAUGUGUCGCUUUUUUAGUAUAUCAGGUAAUUUGUAGAGAUUUAUAGAUUAUUAUGUAUUGUGGCUUAAAAUAGUGGUCAAUCGCUCUUAAGUCUUAUGAUGCCAUGCAACUUUAUGGUUUAUUUAUCCCUCUGUAAUAUUUGAAGGUUUUGAUUUUGCUCGUGAAGUCCAGAUGAUUCUCUUACUAUUAUGCCAUAAUUUAGCAUUGAAAUUUAAACUCACUAGUAGGCACUAAACAUUGAUUAUUGAUUUUGACUUCUCUCUUUGUAAGGUAAUCACUUCCAAUUGGAAGAGCAGAUGUGCUUGACCAGUAAAAAGAAAUCGGCAAGCAAAAGGAUAACUGGAUUUCAGGUUACCAUCAGUUGCCUAUCACCCUUCUAUUUUAAUGAGAAGCUAUAAGUACAGUGCAACGAGAGUAAAACCUUUAUUUUGAUCCAACUCGAUUCUUAUAUGAUGCCCCAUGAAUGCAGUUUGUCCCACAAGACUGGAGCAAAGUGUUGGUCACAUGUGCUGAUUCACAAAUCAGAAUUCUUAGCGGGAUGAAUGUGAUUGGGAGAUACAAAGGUAAGCAACUAGUGCUUCAUUGCAUAUCCUCAAGGAAUAAUAUGAUUUGGGCUCUGGUGAAUUUUAUUAGUCCUCCCUUAUCUUUCUAUUUUUUUAGAUUAAUACCCUGGCUCUGUCUAUAGGCCUAGGCGGUGCUGGGAACCAGAUUUCUGCUUCAUUCACCUCAAGUGGAAAGCACAUUAUCUCGCUGGCCGAGGAUUCUAAUGUUUACAUCUGGAACUAUAAUCAGGAAUCAUGUUCUGCUUCGCAACCCAUUAGAUCAUUCGAGUGUUUCUCGUCUGACGCCUCUGUGGCAAUACCUUGGUCUGGCUUAAAGAUAGGGAACUUGGAGGACAGAUUCAAAUCGAGCAAACUCGAGGAGAGUUUAACUAAGUUAUCAACUCAUUUCUCUUUGGGCCAAGAUUUUAUCUUGGACUCCAGCCCCAAGGGAUCUGCAACUUGGCCUGAGGAAAAGCUACCCACGUCUAGUCUCCGUACUGGGCUGUAUCAAAUGUGUAAAUCUCAAUACAAACUUUUCAAGACUUCUUGCCAGAGUUCAUCCACUUCGCAUGCCUGGGGUCUAGUGAUUGUUACUGCAGGAAGGGAUGGACGGAUUAGAUCGUUCUACAAUUAUGGUUUACCGACCCCCCAUUAAUAUGAGUGCAGGAUCACUGCAGAAAUCGGAUAUGAUCUAUUUUUAUGGUCCUCUGUUUAUCUAUCAAUUUGGUCAAGUGCAGCAAGUUCAUUGCACAGAAAGUUGAUUUUAAAGGGUUAAAUUUGUUUACCCGACCCAAAACCAUCAACAUUGCUGUAUCAACGUGGAGGACUAGUCAUCCAGUGUCCAAGUUGAGUCGAUGAAGUUUGUAAUCCAGCAGCUGAUUAAAAACUAAGGUAUGCACUAUUUUCAGUUGGUUACUUCGCUCAAUUCAACAAUCCCUCGAUUUGUUUAUUCACGAAGUCUGUUUCUGUUGGACCAGAAAAGAAAUGGAUUUACACGCGAAGAGCGGCCAAUACGAGAUGCAUUUCUGUAUUAUGCAGCUUUAUGAAGGGUCCCAUGUAUCUUUGUAUAACAUCUUUCACUUGGUUAUCAGUCAUCACAGUGGAACAGAGGAGUGCCCGGCCAGUGGCCCCAAUUUAUUUUGAGGAAAAUGGUGGAGAACGUUUUCUCGUGGCAUGUUGGCUGGUCUGAUUGAUUUUUUGUCUGACCUUUGUAGCAUGUUUGGCUGAGCUUAUAAGGUUACUUGUUUGAAAAUAAAUUUUUCUUUAUCGAAGUUGAAAAAAAGUAUAGACAGUAAAGUAAGAGAAGCAACUUUGAGUAUGUUUGGCUCAUGUUUAUAAGAAUACCCGAUUUACUUUUUAUUCACACAUUUUGAGAGAACCACGGGCGCUACUCAUUAUUUCACCACUCAAUUUUAUCUAUUUAUAAUUUCUACUGUCUCCAAACACUUUCCAAGCAUGCUUUUGUUGCUUAAAAGCAAGUGAAAACAAACUUAUUUAAAUAUGUUCGGAAACCAAGUAACGGUAAAUGUAAUUUAAAUUAUUUUUAAGCUUAGCCAAACAAGCUCCCUUGUGUUAGAGUAACCACUAGGAUAUUUUCUGGUCUAAACUAUACUGCGUGAAGCAUGGCAUGUACAAAACAAAGUUUGUUAACCGUGGCUUGGGAGUGAGCUAUUUUCCUCUGGAUUGAUUACAGUAGGCGUAGCGUUUUCUUCUUCUUAUGAUUAUUAGUUCUGUAAAGAAAAGCUUUUGUUGCUGAUAUGUAAUGUAAGGCUUAAUAAGUUGACAUUCAAAACAG
rnacentral:lncRNA from 1 species